rnacentral:tRNA from 1 species
GGUCCUAUAAGCUUAAAGGAUAAAGCGCCUCCCUUCUAAGGAGGAGAUGUGGGUUCGAUUCCUACUGGGACCA